rnacentral:tRNA from 1 species
AUUUAAAUAGUUUAGUUUAAAGAACGUUAGUUUGUGGCACUAAAAGCGGGUUAAACCCUUUAAAUU